ensembl:lncRNA
CGCUACAUGUUAGUUCCAGUAGUAGAGUGAUGUAGCAUGUUGUGCUAACAUGGCUGUUCUCUCUUUUAGCGGACAGGGUUAGCACAGAUAGCACCAGCGCUAGCCAGCGGGACAGCUCAGGGUCGCGGGGCACGCUGCCGUCCAGUGAGCGGCUCCGACCUCUGGGGGCGUCGGUCGAGGACGUCGGCGAGGGCGGAGCAAGGGUCUCCACGGGAACCAAGGAGCAAGAAGGAGGAGGGGAGAGGCCCGUGCACAUCACCAUCCAUUCUCAACAGGGAGUGGGCGGAGCCAGAGACGCCUACCGUAGUCUGCCGCCAAUCAUAUCUAUCACAGAGAGGUCAACUCUGAGGUCUGCUGUACAGUAUAAGUGAUGAGUACUGUACGGUACAAUGCUGAAGACCAUGUUGUGUUCACUAGGUUGUACACAAGGUGACAAGGUAAUGUGUGGUCUUCUUUAUUUAUGUCUUUGGCUUUGAGGGCUGAGAGUUUUUUUUACUUUUAUGUGUGACAAAGCAAUGAAAUGAUUAAUCUUUUGGAUUCAAUUGAAGACGUUGUUUCGUUACUAUUGAAGUUAUUAAUCAUGGAAAGUGUUGCGCUGUGAAGAUGAAGUUUAAAUGUGAUUCUCGGCAGGACGUUCUGCUGUAUUUCUACUGCUCCAUAUUAAUGUACAUAUUGUUACUGGUUACUGGUACUGGUUUUGUUACAUCGGUUUCUCUGCGAUCCCGGACACUGAAGGGUUAAACGUACCAGUUGGACUCGUGAUACUUGAGCUCAUUUUUACAUUGACUGCAUUUUUUAUGCGUGUGUUUCAUAAUUCAUUUUGUAUGGUUGAUGAGGAGAGACAAUCCUUGUACUGCUAGUUUGUGCCUUGCAGAGCUGGAAUUGCACUUAACUAGUUGAACUAGUGUGUGAACUAGUUGUACUAGUCUGUGAAAACCUGGAGGUAACAGAGUUUGGAUUUGUUAGUCUAGGUUAGUCUUACCCUGACCUGCAGCACAAUGGUCAAAUAAAACUCUUUCAUCACAUGAGCUUUGUGUGUUUGUACGAGUUUGGUUCUCUAAAGAGAUGAAGAUAG